UAUUAAAAUUUUAUCUAUUUUUAUUGUUAAAAACUUGCGUCAGGAGGAAUAACUAAACCGUGCCAUGUGGCUGCCACAUGUACCUCAUGUUGAUGUAUAUAGAUCAAUUUUUAAUAGUAGAAAUAGAUAAAUUUUUUAAUA
rfam:Gossypium raimondii Chr13_contig_755, whole genome shotgun sequence.